UACAGAGGUCCCAAGCGUUGUUCGGAUUCAUUGGGCGUAAAGGGUGCGUAGGUGGCGUCGUAAGUCGGGUGUGAAAUUUCGGAGCUCAACUCCGAAACUGCAUUCGAUACUGCGGUGCUUGAGGACUGGAGAGGAGACUGGAAUUUACGGUGUAGCAGUGAAAUGCGUAGAGAUCGUAAGGAAGACCAGUGGCGAAGGCGGGUCUCGUGGACAGUUCCUGACACUGAGGCACGAAGGCCAGGGGAGCAAACGGG
rnacentral:rRNA from 1 species